rnacentral:ncRNA from 1 species
CAAAAUGCAAUGAAGGGAAAAACAAUGAGCAGGUCUUUAAGAGAGCCGGUGGUUGGUGCAAGCCGGCAGACAGCUUAUAUGCUUCCAUCCCGGAGCAGUCUGCGAGGAGCAGUACCGGCAAAGCCGUUAUAAUUUUGAGAGAGUGGUAGAAAUUUACUGCUAACUAGGGUGGCAACGCGAAGGCCUUUCGUCCCUUAC